rnacentral:lncRNA from 1 species
CGUUAGUCCACUUUUUUUUCGUUCCGCGCUCUUCCUUUGCUGCCUCCUUCGUUGCUUUUCCAUACAAGGAAGCCGUGGAAACAGCAGCUGCGGCUGCAUGCAUUGCUCCUUCGAAGCGGCGACUGGCGGCCGAGCGGGCACUCGACCCAGCGUCCUGGGGCGCCCUCGCGCAUGCAGCUUCUCCAAGAAAAGAAACAGAUCUUUCCUCGCCAUUCCAGGCAGAUCCCCCUCAAUUCCUUGUUCCCUGGAAGCGGUGGAAUCCCAGAACUGGAGAAGCCAUUCCGCUGUACUCGAACGCCGUUCUGUUGCAGUGCACCUUCAAGCCGACGGAGACGUCCGCUCGGCUGUACCGAUGACGUUUCGAAAGAACACUGCAGUCUCCGGCGAGCGACAAACGCCCACACACAGACUCUUCUUUUCUACACGAGCCUUUUCCCAGAAAACGCGAGAGAAAACGGUGGAAGCGAAACGGAUGAACUCUGUGGGCGAUGCCGACGAUUCCUACGUCUCCGUCUGUGGACACAUGCAUACACAAUAGGACUAAAUACUACUUGUGGAAACAUCCCCAUUUAUAAACAAAUGUAUAAAUCUACAUAUAUGUACAUAUAUCUAUCUAUCUAUGCAUAUAUAUAUAUAUAUAUAUGUAUAUAUAUAUAUGUAUAUGUAUGUAUAUAUGCGGUCGCAGGUGUGUGUGAAUUCACAAGAUGGCUGUGCAGACCUGUACAUGUGCGAGGAUGCGUUCUGCGUUACACUUCCUUUGAGGCGGUUCUUCGCGUAUCAAGAAGCCCUGUGUGCCACCGGAAAGAAACGACGCUCAGCUGCAGGCGAAGGCGCUUUGCGGCCCAACGAGUUAUCCCCUGCUCUGCCCCGCUUUAAAUAUCUC